UCUACUUUUAUUGGUUGUUGUGCUGAAUUGCAUGAAAUAGGUUGCCGGAAUUGGGUAAAGAAACACACCACUGGAUAUGCAUUUUUUCCUGAUUUCCCACCUCAGACGGAACCCAGUUGCAGACAAAGUGGCGUGAAAGGACCUCAACUACUUAGAGUAAAAUCAUGGUUUAAUCAAUCAACCAGAAACUAAUACACUUCUUCGAUUCCCGUUUAACAACCAUAUGUAUUAGUUGGAGAAAUUAGGACAAGCGACUCCCUGGAGGUCUCUGAAACCAUGUCAGUCAGCGUCCAUGAAAACCGUAAGUCCCGGACCAGCACGGGCUCCAUGAACAUUUCACUGUUCCAUAAGCCCUCGCAUCCAGACAGCGUGCUCACGCACCUCAACACCCUCCGCAAGCAGUGCAUGUUCACUGACGUGACGCUGUGGGCGGGGGACCGCUCCUUCCCCUGCCAUCGGGCGGUACUGGCCGCAUGCAGCCGCUACUUUGAGGCGAUGUUCAGCGGCGGGCUCCGUGAGAGCCUGGACAACGAGGUGAACUUCAGAGACAGUGUGCAUCCAGAGGUGUUGGAGCUGCUGCUGGACUUUGCCUACUCGUCACGUGUCAUCAUCAACGAGGAGAACGCGGAGUCGUUGCUGGAGGCGGGAGACAUGCUGCAGUUCCACGACAUCAGAGACGCUGCUGCGGAAUUCCUGGAGAAGAACCUGCACUUGUCCAACUGCCUGGGUAUGAUGCUACUGUCUGAUGCCCACCAAUGCAAACAGCUGUAUGAGCUCUCCUGGAGGAUGUGCCUGGUGCACUUUGAGGCGUUGCAGGACACAGAGGACUUCUACGGCCUCAACAAAUACAAGCUGCUGAACCUGAUCCUCAGCGACGAGCUGGAGAUCGAGGACGAGCAUAUCGUGUUCAAUGCUGUGAUGCGCUGGGUGCGCUACGACCUGGACGGCCGCAGAGACGACCUCCCUGAGCUGCUGGGUGGAAUCCGCCUGGCCCUACUGCCCUCUGAGUGUCUGAUUGAUGCGGUGGCCUGCGAGGAGCUGGUGAUGUCAGACAAGAGGAGCCGGCAGAUAGUGGAGGAGGCCAUGCAGUGCAAGAAGAAGAUCCUGCAAAACGAUGGGGUGGUCACCAGCCCAUGUGCCCGGCCCCGCAAGGCAGGCCACACAUUGCUCAUCUUGGGAGGACAGACCUUCAUGUGUGAUAAGAUCUACCAGGUGGACCACAAAGCCAAGGAGAUCAUUCCCAAGUCGGUCUUGCCCAGUCCCAGGAAAGAGUUCAGUGCCUGUGCAAUUGGCUGUAAGGUCUACGUGACUGGGGGAAGGGGUUCUGAGAAUGGGGUGUCCAAGGAUGUUUGGAUUUAUGACACGGUCCACGAGGAGUGGUCUAAAGGAGCUCCCAUGUUGAUAGCACGGUUUGGCCAUGGUUCAGCUGAACUGGAGAACUGGCUGUAUGUGGUGGGUGGCCACACUGCCAUAGCAGGCAUCUUCCCAGCCUCCCCAUCAGUCUCCCUCAAACAGGUAGAGCGGUAUGACCCACUCACCAACAAAUGGACCAUGAUGGCGCCGCUCAGAGAUGGUGUUAGCAAUGCAGCUGUGGUCAGCGCCAAGCUAAAGCUGUUUGUGUUUGGUGGUACCACCAUACACAGAGACAAGGCCUCAAAGGUGCAGUGCUACGACCCUCUAGAGAACCGCUGGGCCAUCGCAGCAGAAUGUCCGCAACCGUGGAGAUACACAGCCGCUGCUGUUCUGGGCAGCCAGAUCUUCAUAAUGGGCGGAGACACUGAGUUCACCGCCGCCUCCGCCUACCGCUUUGACUGUGAGACCAACCAGUGGUCUCGUGUUGGGGACAUGACUUCUAAAAGAAUGAGCUGCCAUGCGGUGGCCUCUGGGAACAAACUGUACGUGGUGGGGGGCUACUUUGGGACGCAGCGCUGCAAGACUCUAGACUGUUAUGACCCCACGUCAGAUAGCUGGAACAGUAUAACCACAGUGCCUUACUCACUAAUUCCCACUGCGUUUGUAAGUACCUGGAAACAUCUACCUGCCUAGCAACCUUGACAUGAACAUGGAGUGGUCUCCAGAACUGGGGACUAAAGAGGGCACCUGAUUGGCAUUUCACACAAUUGGCUUAGCAGGAGGAAACAGUUAUGCUUAACUCAUUUGGAGGUUGAAGGAUAUCCCACCCUGACACCUGGGCAGAUGUAAAGAACUUGAGAACCGCCCAGCCACCAGGACAAUCACCAUAUCCCAGGAUUUGUUUCAGGGGUGUGCAACAUCACAAUGUUAGAUACUUACUGCACUGCUGGAGAUAGCUGGUGCAGCGAAAUGCUUAUGCUUCUAUAACAUCUGCUAAUCUGUGACGUAACCAAUACACUUUUAUUUGAUAUAGAAAUAGAUUCAUCCAGGUUAUUGUUUGUCAUGCAGAUUGUUCAGGUCAUUGUAAUUUAUGACGCUCAUUCUAAAAUACAGAUGUGACUUCUGGGGGAUUGCACUGUGUGCAAGUCUUACAUUUAGACCACAAUUAGUUGAAUGAGGUGUUGGUAAAGGGCUGGAACAAAAACCUGUAAACUCCUAUGUAUAAAAACAUUUUAAAAACCGGUGGAAUUUUCCAAGAUAUUUAAAGGCACAGUCAACUAAGUGCAUGUAAACAUCUGACCCACUGGAAUUGUGAUACAGUGAAUUGUAAGUGAAAUAAUCUGUCUGUUAACAAUUGUUGGAAAAAUUACUUAUGUCAUGCACGAAGUAGAUGUCCUAACAGACUUGCCAAAACUAUAGUUUGUUAACAAGAAAUUUGUGGAGUUGUUGAAAAACGAGUUUUAAUGACUCCAACCUAGGUGUAUGUAAACUUCCAACUUCAACUGUAUGUACCCCACGCAUACAAUUAUCUGUAGGGUUCCUCAGUCGAGCAGUGAGUAUCAAACACAAAGACCAGGGAGGUCUUCCAAUGCCUCACAAAGGGCAGCUAAAAAUUGAUGCAGACAUUGAAUAUCCCUUUUGAGCAUGAAGUUAUGAAUUACACUUUGGAUGGUGGAUCAAUACACCCAGUCACUACAAAGAUGCAGGUGUCCUUCCUAACUCAGUUACCGAAGAGGAAGGAAACAGUUAGAGUAAAAUUGGCUGUGAUAUGACAAAAUGGAGGAUGGAUUAACAACAUUGUAAUUUAUAAACUAUACUAACCGAAAUGACAGCGUGAAAAGGAAGCCUGUACAGAAUAAAAAUAAUAUAAAAUCACUGAGUACAGCUUUUCAUAUUUCGAAGCAUGGUGGUGGCUUCAUCAUGUUAUGGGUAUGCUUGUCAUCGGCAAGGUUUUUUAUUUAUUUAAUUUAAAUAAACCGAGGUAAGCAGGCAAAAGAUACAUGAAGAUGUUGGUUGAUCUCUACGACGCACACAAGCUUCAGGGGAUUCAUCUGAAGGUAACCCAGGACCUGGCUGUAAAAAUUGCGAAAAGUGCAUAUGGGGUAAAAUGAGCCAAAAAUAAUGUGGCCAAACCUGAGUUUUAUUAUAUAUCUCUGAUAUAGGACAGACACUUCAAACUCUUGUUCCUUAUUAUUUAUUUAUUUUACUGUGUUUUGCUAUUUAUGAAUUAUUCAAUGCGUUUCUAUGAGCUCUAGCAGUAAAUCAAAUCAAAGUUUGUCACGUGCGCCGAAUACGACAGGUGAAAUGCUUACUUACAGGCUCUAACCAAUGGUGCCAAAAAAAGGUAUGUGUGUGUGUGUGUGGGUAAGUAAAGAAAUAAAACAACAGUAGAAAGACAUUUUUAAAAAGAGUAGCAAGGCUAAAUACAGACACCUGUUAGUCAGGCUUAUUGAGGUAGAAUGUACAUGUAGGUAUUGUUAAAGUGACUGUGCAUAUAUGAUGAACACAGAGUAGCAGAAGCGUAAAAAGGGGUUGGCGGGUGGUGGGACACAAUGUAGAUAGCCCGGUUAGCCAAUGUGCGGGAGCACUGGUUGGUCGGGCCAAUUGAGGUAGUAUGUACAUGAAUGUAUAGUUAAAGUGACUAUGCAUGUAAGAUAAACAGAGAGUAGUAGCAGAGUAAAAGAGGGGUUGGGGGGGUGGCACACAAUGCAAAUAGUCCGGGUGACCAUUGGUUACCUGUUCAGGAGUCUUAUGGCUUGGGUUAAAAACUGUUGAGAAGCCUUUUUGUCAUAGAUUUGGCACUCCGGUACCGCUUGCCAUGCGGUAGUAGAGAGAAGAGUCUAUGACUGAGGUGCCUGGGGCCUUCCUCUGACACCGCCUGGUGUAGAGGACCUGGAUGGCAGGCAGCUUCGCACUACCCUCUGAAGUGCCUUGCGCUCGCAGGCCGAGCAAUUGCCGUACCAGGCAGUGAUGCUCUCGAAGUUGCAGCUGUAGAACCUUUUGAGGAUCUCAGGACCCAUGACAAAUCUUUUUAGUUUCCUGAGGGGGAAUAGGCUUUGUCUUGCCCUCUUCACGACUGUCUUGGUGUGUUUGGACCAAUCUAGUUUGUUGUUGAUGUGGACACCAAGGAAUUUGAAGCUCUCAACCUGCUCCACUGUAGCCCCGUCGAUUAGAAUGGGGAUGUGCUCUGUGCUCCUUUUCCUGUAGUCCACAAUCAUCUCCUUAGUCUUGGUUACAUUGAGGGAUAGGUUGUUAUUGCACCACCCGGCCAGGUCUCUGACCUCCUCCCUUAUAGGCUGUCUCGUCGUUGUCGGUGAUCAGGCCUACCACUGUUGUGUCGUCAGCAAACUUAAUGAUGGUGUUGGAGUCGUGCCUGGCCAUGCAGUCGUGGGUGAACAGGGAGUACAGGAGGGGACUGAGUACGCACCCCUGGGGAGCUCCAAUGUUGAGGAUCAGCGUGGCAGAUGUGUUGCUACCUACCCUCACUACCUGGGGCCGGCCUGUCAGGAAGUCCAGGAUCCAGUUGCAGAGGGAGGUGUUUAGUCCCAGGAUCCUUAGCUUAGUGAUGAGCUUUGAGGGUACUAUGGUGUUGAAUGCUGAGCUAUAGUCAAUGAACAGCAUUCUCACAUAGGUGUUCCUUUUGUCCAGGUGGGAAAGGUCAGUGUGGUGUGCAAUAGAGUUUGCAUCAUCUGUGGAUCUGUUUGGGCGGUAUGCAAAUUGGAGUGGGUCUAGGGUUUCAGGGAUAAUGGUGUUAAUAUGGUGGUCUGCUUGAACCAUGUUAGACUCAAUCAGGGACAUGUUGAAAAUGUCAGUAAAGAAACCUGCCAGUUGGUCAGCACAUGCCCAAAGCACACGUCCUGGUAAUCCGUCAUGCCCCACAGCCUUGGGUAUGUUGACCUGUUUAAAGGUCUUACUCACAUCGGCUAUGGAGAGCGUGAUCACACAGUCGUCCUGAACAGCUGAUGCUCUCAUGCAUGCCUCAGCGUUGCUUGCCUCGAAGCAAGCAUAGAAGUGAUUUAGCUCGUCUGGUAGGCUCGUGUCACUGGGCAGCUCGCGGCUGUGCUUCCCUUUGUAGUCUGUAAUAGUUUGCAAGCCCUGCCACAUCCGCCGAGCGUCAGAGCCGGUGAAGUCUGAUUCAAUCUUAGCCCUGUAUUGACGCUUUGCCUGUUGAUAGUUCGUCGCAGGGCAUAGCGGAAUAUCUUGUAAGCUUCCAGGUUAGAGUCCCGCACCUUGAAAGCGGCAGCUCUACCCUUUAGCUCAGUGCGAAUGUUGCCUGUUAUCCAUGGCUUCUGGUUGGGGUAUGUACGUACAGUCACUGUGGGGAUAAUGUUCUCAAUGCACUUAUUGAUAAAGCCAGUGUCUGAUGUGGUGUAUUCCUCAAUGUCAUCGGAAGAAUCCCGGAACAUGUUCUAGUCUGUGAUAGCAAAGCAGUCCUGUAGUUUAGCAUCUGCUUCAUCUGACCAUUUUUUUAUAGGCCGAGUCACUGAUGCAUCCUGCUUUCAUUUUUGCUUGUAAGCGGGAAUCAGGAGGAUAGAGUUGUGGUCGGAUUUACCAACUGGAGGGCGAGGGAGAGCUUUGUACGCAUUUCUGUGUGUGGAGUACAGGUGAUCUAUAAUUUUUCCCCUCUGGUUGCACAUUUAACAUGUUGAUAGAGAUUUGGUAGAACUGAUUUAAGUUUCCCAGCAUUAAAGUCUCUGGCCACUAGGAGCGCCGCCUCUGGGUGAGUGGUUUCCUGUUUGCUUAUUUCCUUAUACAGCUGACUGAGUGCGGUCUUAGUGCUAGCAUCUGUCUGUGGUGGUAAAUAAACAGCCACGAAAAGUAUAGCGGAGAACAGUAGUGUGGCCUGCAGUUUAUCACAAUAUACUCAACUUCUGGCGAGCAAAAUCUAGAGACUUCCUUAGAUUUUGUGCACCAGCUGUUGUUUACAAAUAUGCACAGACCGCCGCCGCCCCGUCUUACCGGAGUGUGCUGUUCUAUCCUGCCGGUGCAGAGUAUAUCCUUCUAGCUGAAUAUCCAUGUCGCCAUUCAGCCACAAUUCCGUGAGGAUAUUACAGUUUUUUUGAAGGCUAUAUUCAAUGUUAAAUGUUUUUUUUUUGAUACCUACAUAGGUCAUAAAAAAUUCUAAAUCAAAUGGCUAAAUGAUACAUUUUAUGAACAACUUAUAACAAUUCCAUACGUUAGCUUAGUAGAUAUUGUGAUCUAAGGACUUGAACCUAUAGGGGGUUUAAUUGCACAUACAGAACUAACAUUAACAAUAUGCAUGCCAGUCAUUCCUGCUUUAUUUGACCUUUAUUUAACUAGGCAAGUCAAUUAAGAAUAAAUUCUUAUUUACAUGUAUCUUAUUUACAAUCACGGCGUACCCUGGCCAAACCUGGACGACGCUGGGUCAAUUGUGCCCCGCCCUAUGGGACUCCCUAUCACGGCCAGAUGUGAUUCAGCCUGGAUUCAAACCAGGGACUGUAAUGACAUCGCUUGCAAAGAGAUGUACUGCCUUAGACCGCUGCGCCACUCAGGAGCCCUGAGGGUUGACGAGAGAUUAACUGCUUCUCCUAGUUUUUAUGAGAGAUAUUACUGUGAUGAAAAUUCCAGAUUGUCUGCAUAAUCAAAUAACAUACAGCUCAGACACCCAUAUAGACCCCACAAUAAAUGCCACCAGGGUCUCUUCACCGUCCAAGUCCAAAACGAAUUCAUGCCAACACACAGUAUUUACUAUACAGAGCCAUGAUCUCAUGGAACUCCCUUCCAUCUCCAUUUACUCAAGCAAAAUUACCAAUUAAAAAUGUAUAAAACAUCUCAUGGCACAAUAGGGACUGAAAUUAUGCACACACUAACGGUCUACACAUUCUUUAGUUGUAUUGUUUGUAUAUUGUUGUAUUUUACAUUUAUGUGACCGUUCUUGUCUAUCAGUGUAUCUGUGGAAGAAUAGCUGCUGCUUCUGCAACAUCUACUGGGGAUCUGAAUAAACCAAUAAGUUGUGUUGAUGUCUUGAGUCUGUAUUCCUCAUUGGCGCUGUUUUGUCUAUUUCAGUGUUUUGCCUCUGAGACAUGAGACUUUGGUUUCACUGUGUAUCCAUCCGCCUCUCUGUUCACAGAUGUCACAUGUUUCCGGCCAUAGUGACUAGCAGAGGCUUGCUGGGGCUUGCCUGCCUGUAGACCAACGAGAUGUGUCAAGCGAGUGAAGGGUUUGGUUCCGCCAGGGUCGCCCAGCUAUAGCUGUUACGCUAAACACCCCCUCGGAGGUAAAGACUGUUCCAGAUUAUCUGAGGGGUGCGUGGUCCAACGGCAGAACACAAGGUCCUCCAAGAGGGAUGCCAUUUGCUGGAUCUUCUCCCUCACAUCACAAGGAGACAUCCAUACCAUGCUUCCUAACAGUCUUAUUCAUGACCAUGGAGAGAAACAGACUCUUUAUAGACAGACAACCGAUUUGGGUAUUAUUGCUCAAUAUUUCUAACUGAGGCCAUUUUUAAAUGUCUUAUUAUUUGAGGGAUCCCCUAUUAGAUCAUUCCAGCUUUGAACCCAGACAAUGUAGUCUUAAGGGGUGAUUGUUUUUUGUAAAUGGCAAUUAAUUAACUACAGUAAGCAGGAACACUAUCCUUUCCAUCAUAAAAUGUGGUGCUGUUUUAUUAGCUCUUUGCUGUAGGCUCUCAGCACACACUGUUAAUGAGCCUCAGCACACUCAGAUCCAACAAGCAGCCCUACACUACAUUGCAAGUCAACUCUUUAAAACAAUGAGAUACUGUAUAUCAAAGAAACACAACACGUAUCAUCUAACUUUCAGGGGAAGUACAUGUUAAAGUAUAAGCAGUUGUACUGUAUUUACUUUGUAUCUAUGAAACAAUUCAGCCUGGGACUCCUGUCAACACCACAGCACAAUUUGCUAUUGUUGACCUCUUAUCAUUGAAGCAUUUCUUGAAGGUAUGAAACGAUACCCAUUACUCACUGGUUUCAUCAAGAUUGUUUCCAUGUCAUUUCAACCCCCAAAUUAAAUGUGAUUACAUUGGAAACAUGGAAAACUGAUUUGGAUUAGCAAAAAGUAAUCAACGUAGUCUUUUUUCACCCACCUUUUAACCUAAAUCCAAUGGACAUGGUGACAUUUCGUGUUGAUUUCAAGUUGAAUUCACAAUUGUUGACAACUCAACCAAAUUUAAAAUCAAAACUAGAUGUUGAAAUUGCAUCUGUACCUGGGUACAUUGUGGUUGAUGUGUGUUUUAGUUAUACAACCUUUGCACUUGGCACUAUACAUUUGAUAAUAUGUCAAUGAGGGUACUAAGCUUUGAUAUUGGGAUUUUUCCAGGGGUGGAUUUGGUUUAUAUCUGGAGUUUAUUUGUGGAAUGAUAGCUGCCCAGAAGCUACAACCUUUUUCUUCAGAAGACCCGUAGGAGGGGGGAUUUUGUUUUAUGAUAAAGACUCACUUUUAAACUACAGUUACUUUUCCAUGUGGGGGGUGCCUUCAAUGACUGUAAUAAGGCCUCCUUGUGAACUGAAUUUUUGUGCCUAAUACUGGUAGAAAGGUUUGUCAUAAAUUCACUCUUUGAAUAAAUGACUUUUUAAUUCACAUUGA